rnacentral:rRNA from 1 species
AUGUGGAGCGUGUCUUGUUUUCCUGUUGGGUGUUGCGAGUCGGGGCGGGAGGUUGCACGCCCCGCACGACUUUUGUUCCCCGUCUCCCACGACUGGCCAUUUACCCCCGCAGCGGUGCUACGGUUUCUCCCGGUCCCCUUCAUUACUCCCCAACCAACCCUCUGUAGCAGUUCCAUUCGAUUGGAGGAGAAGUCGAGAGGAGCAGGCGGUGGCGGAGGAUUCGACGGCAUUCACGGCCGUUGCUGGCACUGGACCGUAGCGUCAUUGCCAGAGCAGCCACAUCGAGUAGAUUCGCAGCGCUCUAGUGUCCCUGUCGGCGGGGGAGUCGCAUGUGUGCCAUUUAGGGCAGCAUUGCGCAGUUCCAUCGCCAUCACGGUGGUAGUCAAGCCAGUGAGGCUCGCCCAGUCGGCAACCACCUAUCUAUUAAACCCUGUAUGCGACUGGCUCGGAGAGACAUAUGUGCCCGAGUCUACGGAAUUCGUAAUUCUGGGACGUGGAAGACUGCCUUUCGAUGAGGAAUCGGUGAUCUGCACUUUGGGUGUCUCCCGUGGAGAAAUCAAAGUCCCGUAUGAGGUGGACAAUGAUAUUGAGGAAGUUUUGUUCGCCCGUUUGUUUCCUAGAAUGGCAUCCAUGCCUAAUACGACUGUGCUGGCAACUUCGCUGGAGGGCAUGAUAGCCAUGGCAAGUUCAUUCUUUCCUAAAUCACCAUUGCAGCUGUUCACUUAUGAUGAUGUCAAGGUUGUGCUUGCCGCAAACAAGAUAUCUGAUACAAAAUAUGGGAAACUGCAGCUGAUGGCCAAGGAUGCCAUAGACUACACUGUGUUUGGUGGGCACAAAACAUUGGCAAGUGGAUGGAUGUGCAUCCAGCUCCAUCUUGUUCCUCUAAGGUAUGACUACAACAGCUCUCGGGAGCUCCCUGACACACAAGACGAGCUAGUCGGGGAUGGCUUCGGUGGCGUGGAUGCUGGUAUCGACAAGGAUGGUGACGAUGACAUGGAGAAUGUGCCACAUGACACUAACCAUGAUGAUGAUAAGAAUGCUAAGGAUGCACCGAAUGUUCUUCCACCAGAUGAAGGCAUUGAUCCAACUGUGCGAGAGACACGGGGGUUUCGCUCUCAAAGAGGGGCAGGGCUCCAGAGGAUGCUAGCCAACGCUCUAUUGGGAAGAGGUGUAGGACCGAUCCCUGAGGCGACAGCUGGUGGACCAUCAGUUAAGCAGAAACAAGCACCCACGCCAACCCGUGUUUCUACCAGGUUGAACAAGGGGGCUCCCACUGCUAGUGCCACCACUUCCACUAGGUCGUCUCCUCGCAAAUCUACGUCCAACACCGGGGAUCAUGUCGUGCUGGAAGACUUGAGGAAGACAAUCAAGAGAUGGUGUUCAAACCUCUCAAGGGUCUACGGAGCCCAGCAUCCGACAAAAUCUGCCGCUGCACCAUGCACUGUUCCCGAUCGCUCUGAUGCAAGCGGCCGCCCAUCUCCGCCGGUUGUAGAUGUGCAGACUACGACAAUAGGAAUCCAUACAUCUGGGAGUGACGAGUCAGUAUCUGCCAGGACUGUUGCAAUAUUGCGUACCCUGGUGGCAAUGAGAGAUGUUGUUGUGGCCCAUGCCAGCCGACCAUCAAGUGUUGAAGUGGACACUCCCGAGCUCAACCUAAACAAGGAAGAUUCCCGAUCAUCUGAAACGAAUUCCAAGUGUGUAGCUGCUGGCACUUCUGUGUCCACGGAAGAAGGGGUUGCGGCCACAUUUAAGAAUGACAUGCCAUCCAUAGAUGACCCUCAUCGCACAACAGCUCUAGUGGCUGGUGGCCUAGAGGCUUCUACUCCAACCGUUGUGCGAGCUAGCCUGCCACCUAGGCGGUAUAGCCCCCACAAGAAUCUUGCACAGUUAUGUAAUGCACCAGAGGUAGUUAAGAGCAGCAGAGGUGACUCUGGUUAUGUGCCUACUUCCACACUAUUCCCACCUUCUACCAAAAGCAACAUAGUCGAGAAGAUGGAAGUCUGCAAUACAACAAAUGCAGGUGCUAAGUAG